CGGGGGCACCCGCGAUAAUUCGGCGCAGAGCCGGCAGCGGCACGCACAUCCCUCCAGGCGUCAGCCUUUUGUCGCAGCCGCUGCCGUGACCUGCAUCCGGCCAGCACCUCGGAGAGGCAGCCGUGUGGCUGGGGGCGCCCAAAAACCCCCUGCCUCCCCCCAGCGCCCGUGGUUUGUCAGAUGGAUCACCCGUCCUUGCAGAGCAGGCUGCUCGGGAUAAGCCUCGCGUGUGUGUCUCUGUGUCAUCUUGGAAGACAACAGAAAUGGCUCUUGCAUGGAUGAGAGCCAUGGAGAAGGUGGUGAUGAUGGCAGAGCCUUGAAAGCGUCAGUGUUUGGCAUUUGUUUGAGUCGGUGGCUUAGGUGAUGCAGCCCUUUCUGCAUCUCUUUUACUGCCUGCACGUACGUGGCAGAGAGCUUAAUAACCCUCCAGCGAAUGGGCUGACCUUCUUAAAGGAGAUAAAUCCACAGGCAUUGA